rnacentral:rRNA from 1 species
CCUACGGGAGGCAGCAGUGAGGAAUAUUGGUCAAUGGCCGUAAGGCUGAACCAGCCAAGUAGCGUGAGGGAAGACUGCCCUAUGGGUUGUAAACCUCUUUUAUGCGGGGAUAAAGGUGUCCACGUGUGGAUGUUUGCAGGUACCGCAUGAAUAAGGACCGGCUAAUUCCGUGCCAGCAGCCGCGGUAAUACGGAAGGUCCGGGCGUUAUCCGGAUUUAUUGGGUUUAAAGGGAGCGUAGGCCGGUCUUUAAGCGUGCCGGGAAAUUUUGUGGCUCAACCAUGCGAGUGUGGGGCGAACUGGAAACCUUGGGUGGGCGGAAGGCAGGCGGAAGUCGUGGUGUAGCGGUGAAAGGGUUGGAUAUCACGAAGAACCCCGAGUGCGAGGGCGGCCUGCCGCAGCGUUACUGACGCUGAAGCUCGAAAGGGCGGGUAUCGAACAGGAUUAGAUACCCUGGUAGU